GUAGUCUGCAACCCGACUACAUGAAGCUGGAAUCGCUAGUAAUCGCGAAUCAGAAUGUCGCGGUGAAUACGUUCCCGGGUCUUGUACACACCGCCCGUCACACCAUUGGGAGUCGGAAAUGCCCGAAGUCAGUGACCUAACCGAAAGGGAGGAGCUGCCGAAGGUGGAGCCGGUAACUGGGGUGAAGUCGUAACAAGGUACC
rnacentral:rRNA from 1 species